UAUUUUUCAAGCUCGCCCGGUGUGGAUAUGCGCUCAGAGUAACAUCGCAAACAUAUUAUUCACCUGAGUACACAACACCAACACAGAAAAAAAUUCAUAUUACAAGAACACAUUGGUAUUGAAGGAACUAGAUACUGUUCCGAAAUAUCACUUACUCGAACCGUCCUGACCGCGUAGCUCAGUUGGAAGAGCAUUGGGCUAGUAUUCCAAAGGUCGUAGGUUCGAAUCCCACCGUGGCCAGGCAUAUUUUUCAAGCUCGCCCGGUGUGGAUAUGCACUCAGAGUAACAUCGCAAA
rnacentral:tRNA from 1 species